UCACAUUUUUGUGUUGAAAUAGAUUAGCCUAUGCCCUGUAUGUCAUCGAUGCGCUACUUCAAAGAUGUGAGGAAAAGAACAUACACCUGCGAGUAGUCUGUUACAUUGCCUGUGUUAUUGCCUCACAUUUGCAGAAAUCAGGGGAGGGCAUAUCACACAACAUUGCAUUGGCCGUACCAGCAUUUCAUGUUUAUGGACACAAAUUGCCCUGCCAGAUCAAGUACAGUACCAGAUUGCUUGAUGGGUUUGGGCUCACAGACGGGGAAGGAAUGGAAAGGCUGUGGUCUUUCCUCCAAAGAUUUGCCAGAGUCACAAAGGAGAUGACUCCAUCUCAUCGCCUUGACCUACUGACUGAUGCCCUUUUGCAUUAUGGACGGAGGAAAUCAACUGACCUAGGUGCAGCUACUGCAAAGAGUAGACAAAGCAGAGAAAAUAUUGAUUCUUGCUCAGGAAGAUAUCUCAUGUCAUCAGAGAGGCAUCAGGUAAACAAUGCACAUAAGAAGCAGUGUUGAUUUCUGAAGGAGACAUGGAGAGAUGGAAAAAGCUAGCCCAACAGAAACCAAUAAGUAAGGAACUGAAGUUAAAGUCUUAAAUACUACACUGUCUGUAGAUGGAAAAGGGACUACAUCAUCAGACUGAUUCAGUUCUACAAGUUCAAAAUUGAGGACUCUGCUGAACAUUGAGGAAAAAAUACCGUAUCGGGAGAAGAUGGCAAGAGUCUGAUUCAAACUUCCAGUCUACCCUUAAAGAUGUGGACCGUGAGCUCAGAGUCCAACUGUAAGGCUAGAACUGAAUCAAGGGAGAGAGCAGUCGUCCUCCACCUGAGAAGAAUAUAUCCAGCUUUGCUUCAGAUGGGCAGGGCAUUGCCAUUAGACUCUCCAAGCAGGUAGCCAAUUGAUUUUCAGGAAUCAUGUGAUCCCUCUUGGCAUGUCUACUUCUGCUUUAAUGACACUAUUGAAGAAGAUGAUGUUUCGAGGAGUCUAAAAAGGCGAGGGAUUGAUGCCUUACAUAUGAAGACUCGGGCAGCUGAGAAAAAGUGCGUGCUUUACCAGGAAAUGAGAAGUCUAAGGGGCCAGUCACACCAAAAGCGUUUAUGGCAGUUGCAGGCGCCUUUUUUGAAUGAUAUUCUAUGGGCAGGGCGCGUUUGCGCGCUGUUUAUGAGCGCCUUGCUGUUUUUUGCCGCCUGCCACGCACGCAUUUUUGAAGGAGCGCUGAGAGCGGAGAAGCGCCCGACGUCAUUCGCGUCUUUCCAUUGUCCAAUCGAAUGAGGGGAGAGGCGGGCCUUACGUUGUGGUGAGUGAAGUUUACAGUUGCUUUGAAGAACCGGAAUCCACUCGCUCACUCUCUCCUGCGUGUUUGUGCACCCCUCACCCUCAAACAGGGUCAGAGCAAGCGCCCUCUUUUUAAAGUUUCUGCUAAUAUGACAGUUAACAGCAAAAGAGCGCUCACGCUUCAAUAUUUGAUUGACAAGACAGCUGACUCGGUGGUUGCUUAGCAAUAUGAAAAGCCGCGUCGCACUGCUCUUUUUUUUAAAAAAGGCAGUGCGUCGCGCCUUGUGUUUGCAAGCGUUUAAAGCGCUUUUGGUGUGACUGGCUCCUAACUGAACUCCCCAUCAGCAGCAGGCCUCUAACAUUUGUGCUCUAACAUCAAAGACACUGAGCAGCCUGGUGCAAAAGCUGCUCUCAUUCAACACCUCCAACAGCUGGAAAGAAAACUACAUCAAGCCAUUGUGAUGUUUCACCCACAUCUAUCGGACAUUGUUCCUGCAGACAACCCCCACUUGUGUCAGGCCCUCCCCAUGCCAAGCAUACAGACACUGGUAUACAAUGAUAAGAGUGAUAAUGAUGAAAAUGUGGAUAAAUAUGAUAACUAGCACUACAGAUUUUUUGUUAAUUUUUAGUCUGAUAUUGUAUUCUGUAAAAAGAAAGAUGUAAAAUGUAUAGUAUAUGUUGCAGCAUAUCAUAGAAACCUUUAUGGUGGUGAAAUAUAAUGUUCGCCU